rnacentral:lncRNA from 1 species
UUGCUGCCACACUCAUUUUAUUUUUUUUAGUUAACGUUAUUUAAUGAGAAAGGAACUAGGAAGGAGUCUAGUGAUGUGACAAUGCUCUUUAUUUUAUUUCUUUUGUAAUUUCUUUUAGUUGCAGCAGCAUGUUUAAAGAGGAGCUGGACGUGAUUUACUUUUCUUGGAUAAAGGAAAGGGUCACGGCCUAGGGUCUUCUUAGACUAUUUUGCAAAUUUAAUUUCUUUAGAAGAUGCAUAUGUAGUCUAGGUAAAAGAAAUUUAUGCUUGUUUAUUUAUUUUGUUUUUAAAUAUUUUGACAUUGUAUUUUGAGUUGUUUUUCAUCUUUCUAAUUUAGUGGUGCAUUUUAAUAGUUUUGAUUGUGUUUAGAUAUUUGUUGCUCUAGUAUUGGGUUUAGCAUUUUCACUCUCUGGACUCGAUUUUAAAAAAAUAACUGCAACCACACCAGAGGUCCAAAUUCUACGUUUUAUAUAUCACUUGAAAGAUAAUUGAGUCUACUUUCCAGGAAAAAAAAAAACUUCAUCUCAUUUAGAGCCCUGUAGAAAAAUUUAUGAGUAAAACAUUGAGCAAACGUCAAAGUUGUCCAGUUCCAACGUGAAUUUUCGUAAUUACUGUAGCAAUUUCGUUUUUAUUGUUUUAAUUUCAUUUUCAUGCAUGGUGAAACCUUUUCAAACCCCCCCCCCCACACUGUGUUAGACCCGAUUCUGAACCGUAGUUGGUCCUUGUGAGACGACAUAGGAGUCAUUCCUAGCUAUACUGCAUUUCUUAUUAUGCAAUCAAAUUUGAUUGGGCGGCGACACCCAUCAAAUUUUGGCGCCAUUGCCGGGGACCAACGGUUCAGUUUUAGGUCUUUUGUUGUGUUAGUGUGUGUUGUGUUUUGUCUUGUGUUGUGAGUGUGAUGUUCCGUUUUGUGUGUUCGUCAUUGUGUGUUGCAUUUAGGUAGCUUUAGUUGCAUAUUUUCAUUGCAUUCUUCUUUU